rnacentral:rRNA from 1 species
AUGCACGCUGGCAGCGUGCCUAAUACAUGCACGUCGAGCGAACAGAUGAGGAGCUUGCUCCUCUGACGUUAGCGGCGGACGGGUGAGUAACACGUGGAUAACCUACCUAUAAGACUGGGAUAACUUCGGGAAACCGGAGCUAAUACCGGAUAAUAUAUUGAACCGCAUGGUUCAAUAGUGAAAGACGGUUUUGCUGUCACUUAUAGAUGGAUCCGCGCCGCAUUAGCUAGUUGGUAAGGUAACGGCUUACCAAGGCAACGAUGCGUAGCCGACCUGAGAGGGUGAUCGGCCACACUGGAACUGAGACACGGUCCAGACUCCUACGGGAGGCAACAGUAGGGAAUCUUCCGCAAUGGGCGAAAGCCUGACGGAGCAACGCCGCGUGAGUGAUGAAGGUCUUCGGAUCGUAAAACUCUGUUAUUAGGGAAGAACAAAUGUGUAAGUAACUAUGCACGUCUUGACGGUACCUAAUCAGAAAGCCACGGCUAACUACGUG